rnacentral:lncRNA from 1 species
AUGAGUUUCAGGUUAUGUAUCGAGGUGUGAAAGGUGCGUGCCAAAUUCUGAAAUUCUAUGUGCCAAAUUCUGAAAUUUGAUAGAAAUUUUUGACUUGAUCAUUUUCAUUGUUGCAAAUUGCUCCCCCUUGAAUGCAUAUGCUUUCCUAUAUGAUUUUCAAGUUGUUUUACAAGUUAUUUCGUUAUUUCUCCUUCUUUCUUUACUUCUCUUAUCACUCUGUCUUUACUUCUCCCCCUAUUACAUUACUCUUUCUUUACUUCUCCUCCUUUUUGUUAUCAUCAAAUAGAUGCAUGGGAAAAGACACAAUAAAUAACAAACAUUUAAACUUCAUUGAUCAAAAUAGGAACAUUUUAGUACAUUCAUGCCCAAAAACAAAAACAAAUACAAUGUUCCUUAAUCAAAGUUUAAAGAUACAUGAUAAAAGCAAAAUACAUAUGAGAACUAGAUAUCUAGCCUAGGCUCUAAACAUAAAUGCUAAUAUCAGCCUAGGGAGUAUCUAAUGGCUGGGAUCUAGUCCUCAUCCUCUUAGUGUAU